rnacentral:rRNA from 1 species
GGCUAGAAUGCCCGUGACAGCCCCAGAGAUGGGGUCUCCUUGGUAAAACUUGGCACGGUGCAAGGUGCUGCAUGGCUGUCGUCAGCUCGUGUCGUGAGAUGUUAGGUUAAAAAAACGCAACGAGCGCAACCCUUAUCAAUAGUUGCCAGCGGUUCGGCCGGGCACUCUAUUGAGACUGCCGUUGACAAAACGGAGGAAGGUGGGGAUGACGUCAAGUCCUCAUGGCCUUUAUGUCCAGGGCUACACACGUGCUACAAUGGCCGGUACAAAGCGCUGCAAACCUGCAAAGGGGAGCCAAUCGCAAAAAGCCGGUCUCAGAUCGGAUUGGAGUCUCUCCCCUCCGCAGACAUGAAGCUGGAAUCGCUAGUAAUCGCA